GGCUCAGGACGAACGCUGGCGGCGUGCUUAACACAUGCAAGUCGAACGAUGAACCUGGAGCUUGCUCCAGGGGAUUAGUGGCGAACGGGUGAGUAACACGUGAGUAACCUGCCCUUGACUCUGGGAUAACCUCCGGAAACGGAAGCUAAUACCGGAUAUGACGCACGGAGGCAUCUCCUGUGCGUGGAAAGAACUUCGGUCAAGGAUGGACUCGCGGCCUAUCAGGUAGUUGGUGAGGUAACGGCUCACCAAGCCUACGACGGGUAGCCGGCCUGAGAGGGUGACCGGCCACACUGGGACUGAGACACGGCCCAGACUCCUACGGGAGGCAGCAGUGGGGAAUAUUGCACAAUGGGCGCAAGCCUGAUGCAGCAACGCCGCGUGAGGGAUGACGGCCUUCGGGUUGUAAACCUCUUUUAGUAGGGAAGAAGCGAAAGUGACGGUACCUGCAGAAAAAGCACCGGCUAACUACGUGCCAGCAGCCGCGGUAAUACGUAGGGUGCGAGCGUUGUCCGGAAUUAUUGGGCGUAAAGAGCUCGUAGGCGGUCUGUCGCGUCUGCUGUGAAAACCCGAGGCUCAACCUCGGGCCUGCAGUGGGUACGGGCAGACUAGAGUGCGGUAGGGGAGAAUGGAAUUCCUGGUGUAGCGGUGGAAUGCGCAGAUAUCAGGAGGAACACCGAUGGCGAAGGCAGUUCUCUGGGCCGUAACUGA
rnacentral:rRNA from 1 species